rnacentral:rRNA from 1 species
UACGUAGGGUGCAAGCGUUGUCCGGAAUUAUUGGGCGUAAAGAGCUCGUAGGCGGUCUGUCGCGUCGGAUGUGAAAAUCCAGGGCUCAACCCUGGACCUGCAUUCGAUACGGGCAGACUAGAGUUCGGUAGGGGAGACUGGAAUUCCUGGUGUAGCGGUGAAAUGCGCAGAUAUCAGGAGGAACACCGGUGGCGAAGGCGGGUCUCUGGACGGUGACUGACGCUGAGACGCGAAAGCGUGGGGAGCAAACAGG